UGAUAAAAUCAAAAUAUGCCACAUUUUUGAAAAGCACAAUCACACUGGGCACCAAAAGAAACUAUUUUGCAAAUAAUGCAAAUAAAAUAAGAAUAUUUUUCCCCAGUCACAACUAGAUGGCAAAUAGUAUCUGUGCAAGUUAACCAUGACGUCACAAAUCAUGGGAACCAGCAACAUUGAGAAUCUGAAGUUUGAUUCAUCAACUGAGGAGAGAUCUGGAGACAGCUUGAAUCCUAGGAGUGACUGUGGUAUAUGGGGUCUUCAAUGGGCUCUUUCAUUACCCAUUAUAAUUAAUAUGGUACAAGUCACUAAAUGGCUGGACAAUCAUUAUAAAAUACACUUUUACCAGAUUUAAAUUUUUUUAGAAACAUUUCCAUUACAUAUGGAUUGCUCAAAUGUUAACAUCCCUAAAUGCAAAAGAGUGAGUGUAAUCAAAAUAGUCUAUCCAUUAGUUAUUUACAUUUAACUUCAAUUUUAGAUGAUCAUCUAAAUAUUUUAGAGUGGGGCUUUUAAUGAAAACGAACCCCGCAUGCAACACAUUUUCUGCAAACUAUUUUUCGUGGCUCAGCCAAAUUCCAAAAACCGCACGUGAACCAUCUGCUUAAAAUCAAUGGCGUUGUAAUCAAAAGUCACGCCAGACAUUGUCAUGUCCAGCCCACUCACAUUUAAACAAUGCACAACUUGACGAGGACUGAGCAGCGCUUGCAAAAGCAAACAAGAACUUCUCUCAAAGCCGGACAACAAUGAGCCCGCGUCCAACGGAAAGUCUAUUAAAAGGACGGGCGGCGCAGGGGAGUGCCUCCCUGGAUGCCGAGGCGCCCGCAAAGAAGCAGCCAAGAGUCUGUAUGAUAACCAGCCGGGGACCGGCUUCUGCCGAGAAGUUCCGGCAAAGAAACGACAGGCUGACAGCGCAGCUAACAAAGGGAAACGCGGUGGGAUAUCGGCCGCCGUUCCCCAGAGGAGAGGAGAGAAACUCUAUUUCCAACCCACCUCUUCAGCCUGGCGUCUUCGUCGCCUUCCCCCGCGUCCUCCUCCCCCGCCGGCCCGUUUUCGUCAUCCUCCACGGUCACGUCUCCGGUCACCGGAGCGCCGACGCUUCCCAAAG